CUCUCACGCUCCAGCGCCGCCGCCCACCCCUUCGAUCUUCCUCUAGUGCUGCUCCCCUACCCUUCGAGCUCCCUCCAAGCUAUCGUCGGGACAUGACACCACCGCUCAUCAAGCGUCACCGCUCUGUCCUUCAAGCUCCCUCCAGCACUGCCGCUGCUUCCCAUCAGAUCGACGCCUACUCUCCCGAGAAAUCAGUGUUGGAACACUUUCCCUCAUCUUUAUCUCCAUCCUCCCUCCCUCCCUCCAUGUCUAAUUCUGCAUGGCGAUGGUGAACGCCAGAAUUUUUGAGCGCCUAUACGCCUAGGUGACGUCUUAAAAACUAUGUUUUAGUGCAUACAAACAUGCCCCUAAUUAAUAUCAUGUUACUUGUCUCGGUCUAACAGACAGUCUGAGCAUAAUAUAGAGAAGAAUGAAGUCAUUUAAUCUUGUAUAUAAUUCACUAACUCCAACACAGCCGGCUCAGGAGCACACAAACAACUCCGGGUUCAUCGGCGGUGGCAUGUGGACACCACCAGCGAGGAGCCUAGAACGACGCUGGCUACGUGCGUGCGGGACUAGACGAUUCACAUGGCCGCCGGUUUGUUCCGGUCCUUCCCUCCGUUCCCGUUGCCCAGCGCCCACAUCAACUGCAGUCAGCCUCCAGGCGCCACCGCCGCCCCAGGCUCCGACGCGCCGGGCGCGUCCUCUUCCUCCUUUGGCUCGCUGAGGUUGUCACCAGUAGAAAAAAGCUUAAAAACUACAAUAGCAUAUAAUUUUUAUAGGUAGUUUUGGUUAUCAACCACCAAUGCUAUUUGUAGUGUUGGUUCUUUAAUAAAUCGCCACUAGAAACCGG
rnacentral:lncRNA from 7 species